AUAUCAAUAAGCGGAGGAAAAGAAACCAACAGGGAUUGCCUCAGUAACGGCGAGCGAAGCGGCAAAAGCUCAAAUUUGAAAUCUGGCGCUUUCAGCGUCCGAGUUGUAAUUUGAAGAAGCAACUUUGGGGUUGGCCUUUGCACAUGUUCCUUGGAACAGGACAUCAUAGAGGGUGAGAAUCCCGUACAUGGUGAGGUGCCCAACCCUUUGUAAAGUGCUUUCCAAGAGUCGAGUUGUUUGGGAAUGCAGCUCUAAGUGGGUGGUAAAUUCCAUCUAAGGCUAAAUAUUGGCGAGAGACCGAUAGCGAACAAGUACAGUGAUGGAAAGAUGAAAAGAACUUUGAAAAGAGAGUGAAAUAGUACGUGAAAUUGUUGAAAGGGAAGGGCUUGAAAUCAGACUUGGCUUGUAGUGAUCAACUGUCUCUUGGGACUGUGCACUCGCUGCUUGCUAGGCCAACAUCGGUUUUGGCGGUAAGAUAAUGUCAGUUGAAUGUGGCUCAUUCGUGAGUGUUAUAGCUUCUGUCGAUAUUGCCAGCUGGGACCGAGGACUGCGC
rnacentral:rRNA from 2 species